rnacentral:rRNA from 1 species
UACGUAGGUGGCAAGCGUUGUCCGGAUUUAUUGGGUUUAAAGGGUGCGUAGGCGGCCCUGUAAGUCAGUGGUGAAAUACUCUAGCUUAACUAGAGGGGUGCCAAUGAUACUGCAGGGCUUGAGUACAGAUGAGGUAGGCGGAAUUGACGGUGUAGCGGUGGAAUGCGUAGAGAUCCGGAAGAACACCGGUGGCGAAGGCGGCCCGCUGGGCAGAGACUGACGCUGAGGCGCGACAGCGUGGGGAGCAAACAGG